UACGGAGGGCGCGAGCGUUAAUCGGAAUUACUGGGCGUAAAGCGCGCGUAGGCUGUUGUGUAAGUUGGGGGUGAAAUCCCACGGCCCAACCGUGGAACUGCCUUUGAAACUGUAGAGCUUGAGUGUCGGAGAGGGUGGCGGAAUUCCAGGUGUAGGAGUGAAAUCCGUAGAUAUCUGGAGGAACACCGGUGGCGAAGGCGGCCACCUGGACGACAACUGACGCUGAGGUGCGAAAGCGUGGGUAGCAAACAGG
rnacentral:rRNA from 1 species